AUGAGGAGAGGUCGGCUUCUCAGGCGAGGCCACGUCGAGGCCACGAGAGCCCACAGCUGCAAAGGCCUUGGAUAUCCAAUGUCAAGUGUUCCCGAUCAGAAACUUGCCUCCCAGGGCCUGGAGGAGACACAGGCAGCCACGUGGACAAGGGUGAACUCUGGCCCUCUGCCUUCACCGUUCACCCAGACGUCUCUUUCCAGUGAGUUGGGGGAGUUAAGUAUAGAAGGCCACUCAGCCGUGGGGCGCACACGCUGCCAUGUGUCACUGUCCCAGACCUCACGGUCCAUGAUGAAUAAAACCAUUCUGGUUUUGCCUUGGAAGAGGCCACAGUGGAUGCAUUAAAGGCACCAUCUACCAAGUAACACAAUAAGUUAUUGUUGCCUUGCAAACCUUAAUCACUAGGAAGGAUACUCGCAGGCCCUGCUGGAGGAAUGAUGGAGGGGUGGUAUCCUUAAAAUAGCAGGGUGGUCAGGGGUGGCCUCUCCCAGGAGGCAGACUUUUAAACCGGGACCCAAAGGAGGAAGAGAUGCAAGUGCAGUGAUCUUCUGGGGAAAGGUCGGGGGGCGGGAGGAACUAGGGGACCAAUGUGAAUGGAGAGAGGCUACACCUGAGGACUCCUCACAGGCCACAGUGAGGAGUUCAGACUCAGUCCUGAGGGAACUGGAAAUGAAGGAGAAGAUGGACAGGACAGGCUCCAUCUUGAAAGCAGGACUCCUUCUCGGGCCGGACUGUGGACUUUGAGCUAUAUGCCCAGGAUCUAUGGAAACGACACACCAACUGGAAAACCAGGCCCCCGGAAGGAAGAGCCCCAGGGCUCAUACCUAGACUCUCCUUUGCCUGGAAGGAUACCCUAAUUAUCUGUGUAACCGAAUAGAAUCGUACAUUCUAUUGUGUUUAUUGGGGUUUGACCACAGGCCUAUUGAUAAUUGUCCUCUGUCAAAUACCUGGGCUUAAGGCACAUGAAUCACGGUUAACUUUGAUUGUAUCUUUCUUGUCCUUUGUUCAGACUAGUUUCUGGGACUUGGGGAGGUGGGUUUGGGCACAUACACUUAGGGUAUAUAAAGUUUUCACAGAAACUGGUUGGGGUCCUUGGCUAAGAGGAGACUCUGCCUUGGGCCCGCAAGUGUAAUAAAGUGCACUCCACUCUCUGCA
rnacentral:lncRNA from 1 species